UUAAUAUUUUUAAACGUAAUUAUAAAUUUUUAUUAAAUUAUUUUUAAACGUAAUUAAAAAAUAAAUUAAAAAAUAGUGGAGGAGAAAGUGAUGAGAGGUUUUUUUUCUCCUCAUUGCUGUGGUGAAAAAAACAUUUGAUGAGAGAAAUUGUAUGGGAGGAGUGAGAAAGUGGGUAGAGAGAGAUUGAGAGGUUUAUUUUUUCCUCACUGCUGAGAAUGGUCUUACAAUUAGAUUAUUUUUUCUCUCUCUUCCAUUUACUUCUCUCUCUGUCUUCUCUUUCUGUCUUCCCUUUAUGGUCAUUCGAACAUACUCUGUCUUCCAUUAAGAAAGUAGGCUCGCUACCUUCCUUCCAUUUCCUCUAUCUCCAUCAUCGUGUUUUGCGAUCGCUGCGAGUUGAAGAUUUGUUUCUGGGCUUGCUGUGUCGAGAAUUCAAGCAUUAUAUCUUUGGUUGAGGUAGAAGCUUUUAUCCAUGAUGCUAAGUACAACUAGCUGUGAUUUUCUCCCGGGAUUGUCAGGUUUGUAUUCCCUGCAAAAGGUUAUAAAUAGAAAAUCAUGAGAUCGAAGACAGUUGUGCGAUCGAAGAGUUGGAAACACGUGUUGGAUCCAUCGACUUCUAACCCCUUUGGUAAGGGGGGGUUGUUGAAGUGAAGGGGAAGAAAAACCCUAAAAAGAAGCCAAAGCAACCCAAGAACUUUGAGAAUGUGGAUGAUGGAGAAGAUGAUGAAUACAAUGGUUCUAAUAAUAACCAUUCUAAUGAAGAUAGUGAAGAGGAGUCGUGCACUCCCUCUGAGUUCAUGAAGAUGAUGAUCGGGUUCAUAAAGAGUAAGAGUCGAAAGAGGAAAAGGCCAAAGGGUGAAAAAACUGAAGGUCAAAAGGUGGUGAGCGAAGGGGCAGUGUUGAAGACCCAUCAUGAGAACGUCGGAAAGUACCCCAACAUUGUAUGUAGGGUUGAAUCCUUCUGCCAAGUAGUUAAAGGUUUUGAUCCAAGAAGACGCGCAUUAGUGACAGAAAUGGGGUCUGAAGUCUCCUGGAUCUUGACAUGAAAAAUAUACCGAGGCAAUUUUGCUAUAGGUUGAUGUAGGCGUCAUUCGAAGCGCGUCUACUUAAGCAUGUUGUGAACAUGCUUGACACUCAUAGAAAGUGGGAAUUGACAUAUUAUUAG